rnacentral:rRNA from 1 species
CACCAACUGACGUUGAGGCUCGAAAGUGUGGGUAGCAAACAGGAUUAGAUACCCUGGUAGUCCACACUGUAAACGAUGAUUACUAGGUGUUGGAGGAUUGACCCCUUCAGUGCCGCAGUUAACACAAUAAGUAAUCCACCUGGGGAGUACGACCGCAAGGUUGAAACUCAAAGGAAUUGACGGGGGCCCGCACAAGCAGUGGAGUAUGUGGUUUAAUUCGACGCAACGCGAAGAACCUUACCAAGUCUUGACAUCCCUUGACGAUGCUGGAAACAGUAUUUCUCUUCGGAGCAAGGAGACAGGUGGUGCAUGGUUGUCGUCAGCUCGUGUCGUGAGAUGUUGGGUUAAGUCCCGCAACGAGCGCAACCCUUAUGGUCAGUUACUACGCAAGAGGACUCUGGCCAGACUGCCGUUGACAAAACGGAGGAAGGUGGGGAUGACGUCAAAUCAUCAUGCCCUUUAUGACUUGGGCUACACACGUACUACAAUGGCGUUAAACAAAGAGAAGCAAGACCGCGAGGUGGAGCAAAACUCAGAAACAACGUCCCAGUUCGGACUGCAGGCUGCAACUCGCCUGCACGAAGUCGGAAUUGCUAGUAAUCGCAGAUCAGCAUGCUGCGGUGAAUACGUUCCCGGGCCUUGUACACACCGCCCGUCACACCAUGAGAGCCGGGGGGACCCGAAGUCGGUAGUCUAACCGCAAGGAGGACGCCGCCGAAGG